CCAUUUUCUCUUCAGAAUUCCCCCAUUUAACCCGAAAAUCACCCAUUUUCCCCUUUUCAAAAAUCCCCAAUUAUUUGGAAAAUCACGCAUUUUCACCUCAAAAACCCCCCAUUUAAGGGUAAAUCAUGCAUUUUCUCUUCGAAAAUCCAACAUUUAGCUAAAAAAUCACGCAAUUAAGCAGAAAUCACCCGUUUUCUCUUCAAAAAUCUCCCAUUUAACCCAAAAAUCACCCAUUUUCCCUUCAAAAAUCCCAGAUUUAACUCGAAAAUCACCCAUUUUCCCUUCAAAAAUCCCCAAUUAUUUGGAAAAUCACCCAUUUUCCCUUCAAAAAUCCCAGAUUUAACUCGAAAAUCACUCGUUUUCCCGACGAAAAUGCCCCAUUUAAGCAAAAAUCACCCAUUUUCUCUUCGAUAAUCCCACCUUUAAGUGAAAAUCACCCCUUUUCUCUUAAAAAAAUCCCCCAUUUAAGUGAAAAUCACCCCUUUUCUCGACGAAAACUUCCCAUUUUACCCCAAAAUCACACAUUUUCUCCUCGAAAAUCCCCCAUUUUACCCCCAAAUCACACAUUUUCUCCUCGAAAAUCCCCCAUUGAAGGGUAAAUCAUGCAUUUUCUCUUCGAAAAUCCAACAUUUAGCUAAAAAAUCACGCAUUUAAGCAGAAAUCACCCGUUUUCUCUUCAAAAAUCUCCCAUUUAACCCAAAAAUCACCCAUUUUCCCUUCAAAAAUCCCAGAUUUAACUCGAAAAUCACCCAUUUUCCCUUCAGAAAUCCCCAAUUAUUUGGAAAAUCACGCAUUUUCACCUCAAAAACCCCCCAUUUAAGGGUAAAUAAUGCAUUUUCUCUUCGAAAAUCCAACAUUUAGCUAAAAAAUCACGCAAUUAAGCAAAAUCACCGUUUUCUCUUCAAAAUCUCCCAUUUAACCCAAAAAUCACCCAUUUUCCCUUCAAAAAUCCCAGAUUUAACUCAAAAAUCACCCAUUUUCCCUUCAAAAAUCCCCAAUUAUUUGGAAAAUCACGCAUUUUCUCCUCAAAAACCCCCACUUCAGGGAAAAUCACCCAUUUUCCCUUCAAAAAUCCCAGAUUUAACUCGAAAAUCACCCGUUUUCCCGAAAAAAUGCCCCAUUUAAGAAAAAAUCACCCAUUUUCUCUUCGAAAAUCCCACAUUUAAGUGAAAAUCACCCCUUUUCUCUUCGAAAACUUCCCAUUUUACCCCCAAAUCACGCAUUUUCUCCUCGAAAAUCCCCCAUUUAAGGGUAAAUCAUGCAUUUUCUCUUCGAAAAUCCAACAUUUAGCUAAAAAAUCACGCAUUUAAGCAGAAAUCACCCGUUUUCUCUUCAAAAAUCUCCCAUUUAACCCAAAAAUCACCCAUUUUCCCUUCAAAAAUCCCAGAUUUAACUCGAAAAUCACCCAUUUUCCCUUCAAAAAUCCCCAAUUAUUUGGAAAAUCACGCAUUUUCUCCUCAAAAACCCCCCAUUUAAGGGAAAAUCACCCCAUUUCCCUUCGAAAACCCAGAUUUAACUUGAAAAUCAUUUUCCCGACAAAAAUGCCCCAUUUAAGAAAAAAUCACCCAUUUUCUCUUCGAAAAUCCCACCUUUAAGUGAAAAUCACCCCUUUUCUCUUCAAAAAUCCCCAUUUAAGUGAAAUCACCCCUUUUCUCUUCGAAAACUUCCCAUUUUACCCCCAAAUCACCCAUUUUCUCCUCGAAAAUCCCCCAUUUAAGGUAAAUCAUGCAUUUCUCCUCAAAAAUCCCCAUUUAAGGGUAAAUCAUGCAUUAAGAAAAAAUCACCCAUUUUCUCUUCGAAAAUCCCCCAUUUUACCCCCAAAUCACACAUUUUCUCUUCGAAAAUCCCCCAUUUAACCCGAAAAUCACCCAUUUUCCCUUCAAAAAUCCCAGAUUUAACUCGAAAAUCACCCAUUUUUCCUUCAAAAAUCCCAAUUAUUGGAAAAUCACGCAUUUUCUCCUCAAAAACCCCCUUUUAAGGAAAAUCACCCAUUUUCCCUUCAAAAAUCCCAGAUUUAACUCGAAAAU
rnacentral:lncRNA from 7 species